rfam:Aedes aegypti strain Liverpool supercont1.33 genomic scaffold, whole genome shotgun sequence.
AUCAACAUGAUGACUUAAAUACUGAAUGUUUCCGUUUGUCUCGUUUUGAGGCAGAAGAAACUUUUAUAAGAUGACAAUCGAGGCAUUUGUCUGAUCAUUUU